GCCUGGAUAGCUCAGCCGGUAGAGCAUCAGACUUUUAAUCUGAGGGUUCAGGGUUCAAGUCCCUGUUCAGGCG
rnacentral:tRNA from 1 species